rnacentral:rRNA from 1 species
UACGUAGGUGGCAAGCGUUGUCCGGAUUUAUUGGGCGCAAAGAGCGUGUAGGCGGUUUGGUAGGUCCGCUGUGAAAACUCGAGGCUCAACCUCGAGACGCCGGUGGAAACCAUCAGGCUAGAGUCCGGAAGAGGAGAGUGGAAUUCCUGGUGUAGCGGUGAAAUGCGCAGAUAUCAGGAAGAACACCCGUGGCUAAGGCGGCUCUCUAGUACGGUACUGACGCUGAGACGCGAAAGCGUGGGGAGCGAACAGG